rnacentral:rRNA from 2 species
UGGGGAAUAUUGCACAAUGGGCGCAAGCCUGAUGCAGCGACGCCGCGUGGGGGAUGAAGGCCUUCGGGUUGUAAACUCCUUUCGCUAUCGACGAAGCCACUUUGUGGUGACGGUAGGUAGAUAAGAAGCACCGGCUAACUACGUGCCAGCAGCCGCGGUAAUACGUAGGGUGCAAGCGUUGUCCGGAAUUACUGGGCGUAAAGAGCUCGUAGGUGGUUUGUCGCGUCGUCUGUGAAAUCCCGGGGCUUAACUUCGGGCGUGCAGGCGAUACGGGCAUAACUUGAGUGCUGUAGGGGAGACUGGAAUUCCUGGUGUAGCGGUGAAAUGCGCAGAUAUCAGGAGGAACACCGAUGGCGAAGGCAGGUCUCUGGGCAGUUACUGACGCUGAGGAGCGAAAGCAUGGGUAGCGAACAGG